AAAUUGAAGAGUUUGAUCAUGGCUCAGAUUGAACGCUGGCGGCAGGCCUAACACAUGCAAGUCGAGCGGAAACGGCAGUAUUGAAGCUUCGGUGGAUUUACUGGACGUCGAGCGGCGGACGGGUGAGUAACGGCUGGGAACCUGCCCUGACGAGGGGGAUAACCGUUGGAAACGACGGCUAAUACCGCAU
rnacentral:rRNA from 1 species